GAUGAACGCUGGCGGCGUGCCUAAUACAUGCAAGUCGAGCGAACGGACGAGAAGCUUGCUUCUCUGAUGUUAGCGGCGGACGGGUGAGUAACACGUGGAUAACCUACCUAUAAGACUGGGAUAACUUCGGGAAACCGGAGCUAAUACCGGAUAAUAUUUUGAACCGCAUGGUUCAAAAGUGAAAGACGGUCUUGCUGUCACUUAUAGAUGGAUCCGCGCUGCAUUAGCUAGUUGGUAAGGUAACGGCUUACCAAGGCAACGAUGCAUAGCCGACCUGAGAGGGUGGACAGCCACACUGGAACAUGAGCACGGGCCAGGCUCCUACGGGAGGCAGCGAUAGGGAAUCUUCCGCAAUGGGGGGAAGCCUGACGGAGCAACGCCGCGUGAGUGAUGGAAGUCUUCGGAUCGUAAAACUCUGUUAUUAAGGAAGAACAUAUGUGUAAGUAACUGUGCACAGCUUGACGGUACCUAAUCAGAAAGCCACAGGUAACUACGUG
rnacentral:rRNA from 1 species